rnacentral:tRNA from 1 species
CGGGGUGUGGCUCAGUUUGGCGACAGUACCUGGUUUGGGACCAGGGGGUCGCAGGUUCGAAUCCUGUCACCCCGA